AACGAACGCUGGCGGCAUGCCUAACACAUGCAAGUCGAACGAGACCUUCGGGUCUAGUGGCGCACGGGUGCGUAACGCGUGGGAACCUGCCUUUAGGUUCGGAAUAACUGAGGGAAACUUCAGCUAAUACCGUAUACGCCCUACGGGGGAAAGAUUUAUCGGAAUUGGAUGGGCCCGCGUUGGAUUAGCUAGUUGGUGGGGUAAUGGCCUACCAAGGCGACGAUCCAUAGCUGGUCUGAGAGGAUGAUCAGCCACACUGGGACUGAGACACGGCCCAGACUCCUACGGGAGGCAGCAGUGGGGAAUUUUGGACAAUGGGCGCAAGCCUGAUCCAGCAAUGCCGCGUGCAGGGAGAAGGCCUUCGGGUUGUAAACUGCUUUUGUACGGAACGAAAAAGUCCGGGUUAAUACCCUGGGCCCAUGACGGUACCGUAAGAAUAAGCACCGGCUAACUACGUG
rnacentral:rRNA from 1 species